GAAAUGCGAUAAGUAAUGUGAAUUGCAGAAUUCAGUGAAUCAUCGAAUCUUUGAACGCACAUUGCGCCCGCCAGUAUUCUGGCGGGCAUGCCUGUCCGAGCGUCAUUUCAACCAUCAAGCCCCCGGGCUUGUGUUGGGGACCUGCGGCUGCCCGCAGGCCCUGAAAACCAGUGGCGGGCUCGCUGUCGCACCGAGCGUAGUAGCAAUCACCUCGCUCAGGGCGUGCUGCGGGUUACGGCCGUUAAACAGCCUUACAAAACCCAAGGUUGACCUCGGAUCAGGUAGGAAGACCCGCUGAACUUAAGC
rnacentral:misc_RNA from 1 species